UACAGAGGGGGCAAGCGUUGUCCGGAUUUACUGGGCGUAAAGAGCGCGCAGGCGGUCGUUCAAGUCGCGUGUGAAAGCCCCCGGCUCAACUGGGAGGGUCACGCGAUACUGAUCGACUCGAAGGCAGGAGAGGGUAGUGGAAUUCCCGGUGUAGUGGUGAAAUGCGUAGAUAUCGGGAGGAACACCAGUGGCGAAGGCGACUACCUGGCCUGUUCUUGACGCUGAGGCGCGAAAGCUAGGGGAGCAAACGGG
rnacentral:rRNA from 1 species